CCUGGUCUCAUUCUUGUUAUUGGUGCGUCAUGCUAGAGGUGACAUGUAGUUUGUCCCGUUAGAGGUGCCCAUAACCAACGGGGUUGCGGGGGGGAGGGGAAUAUAGCAGUGCAACCUGCUCAAGGCUUUGAGUGUUGUGGGAUGGGAGAACGCUCUGUGGGUCUUAGUGGUCCAGCCAACUCAGGCCCUUAGUUGUGGGGGAGAAGUGACUGUUUUGCGGGUUGUACGUCAAACAUGUUACGAAAACUGAACAUUGCAAACAUUGUAAACAGUAACACAAUUAAUGUCUGAGAGGUUGGUGCUCUGUGGCGCCGCGGAUCAUUGCAGUCAUGUCUCCGUUUGGGUCUGCGAGGCGCCUCUUGGCACGAAAGGGAUCAGACGAUUAGGGUCCCAUGUCCGGUCAGCUGGUGGUGUUUCUUCCCCAUCCAUGGCAGGUAGUCCCAGAGCCUGCAAGAAUUGUGGUGCGUCCGUAAUGGAUGUGAGCUGGUAGGUAGCUCCCUGGUGAGUCACAGUCAGAGUCCUUGUGGGUCCCCAUCUGUAGGUCAGGCCAGAGUCCCGCAAGCGGCCAGUGAUUGGUCUGAGCGAUUUCCGCCACUGCAGUGUAGACCUCGUAAGGUCUUGAUAAAAUGUGAGAUGUGCAUUCUCACAUGUGCAACAGGUAUGGCGUUUUAUCGCGCACCGCGGUCAUGAUGCUUCUCUUAUCUAGUAGUGAGGAGCACCGGACUAUGAUGUCGCGGGUGACAUUAGGGGGUGCGUUUGGGGACUGCGGCAGUCUAUAUGUCCCAUCUAUGGUCAGUUUCCUGGUUGUGUGUUGGGGUAGAAUAGUGGCCAGCAGGCGCCUCAGAUAGUGUGGUAACUUCUCCGCAGGGACCCCGUUAGGUAUGCCCCUCACCUUGAUGUGGUGCCGCCUGCUUCUGUCCUCCAUGACCGCCAAGCGUGCAUGCAGGUUUUGUUGGGAGGAUUCAACCUUCUGGAGAGCGUCUUUUAGGUGAGACAUGUUGCCGCGCAGAUCCAAGAUGUCCUCUUCGGAGGCGCGGACCCUGUCUGCUACCGCUUUGACCUCCUCCUUCAGCACGGCUGUAUCAGCAGCUAGCAUUUGUUUAAUGUCCAGCAGGAAUUUCUGAAUGUCUUGUUUGGUGGCAAGUUCUUGCCCUUCUUGUGAUGCUGAUAUGGUAAGAGUCCUGUCUGGGACCUUGGGCUGCACUUGUGGGUCCGCCAUUACCUCAAGGCUAUUUGAAGUAGAGGUCUUUGGGCCUUCUGCGUGCGCCAUCUUGGGUUGUGAUGGACGCUGCAGUAGGGUUCCUAUGUCCCUUGUUUCUGUCACUGUGCUUGCCGGCGUUCUUUGAGAACGGCGCCCCAUGGUGAGUGUGUCGCCCUGUACGGUAGGUUGGUUGUGCUCCACUGUGCUGCAGAGGUCUGUUGUUGGGGGUCUCCUUAGGAGCGCCUCAAUCUCUGCCAGAGUAGGCCGGAGCCUUGUGUUUCAAUUUCCUCGGCUUCGUAGCAUAUAUAAACGGCAUCCGUCCGGGCUGGGAGGUUCCCCGGGAUGUUAGCAGAGCGUCCCUCUGUUUGAUGGUUGGUGAUUUUAGGGAUAAAUGCCCGAAAGUGCAGGAUUAUUGAGGAGCCCUGUGCAGAUGCGUCUGCUCCCGUUCGUUAGCAAGCCGAUAGUUCAUUUUAAAUAAAGAGUUUUGUGAUUUCAUCAAUCUGAUGCCUAGAAAUGUGAGGUAGUCUUUCCAUGGUGUUUCUUUCUGUACCUAUUCCCAUCGCUUGGGUUUUUGUAAUGUUGAGUUUGUAAUAAGAUUGUGUGCUGUAAUUCUGCAGUUAUUUUUAGAGGUUGGGGAGGGAGGUGGUUGGUUGAGAUAAUGUUAGCAGGACAUCGUCCGCGAAUUGGUUGAGUUUGUACUUGCGGUCCUCUAUCGGAACUCCGUGCAUAUUUGGAUUGUGCCUGAUAGUUUCUGCUAGUGGUUCUAUUGCUAGUACGUAAAGGAGUGGUAACAGGGGGCAACCUUAUUGUGUGCCAUUGGUAAUGUUGAAUGGGUCUGACAGGAAUCCUGACGUUGCUACAGAAGCGCUUGGGAGGAUGUAUAGGGCCUUAAUAGCUGUCAGAUAUUCUUGCGGGAAGUCAAAUUUAGUGAGUACUGCAUCUAGAAAUAGACAAUUCAGUAUGUCAAAUGCUUUCUCAGCGUCGAGGGAAAUUACGAGUCCUUGUGUCUGACCUUUGUGAAUUGUUUGUAAAAUGUCUAUCACUUUCCUUGUAUUAUCCGGUCCUUGUCUCCCUUGUACGAAGCUCACUUGAUCGUCGGAUAUGAUUGUUGGGAGGAUGGUUUUAAGUCGGGUAGCCAGGAUUUUGGCAUAUAAUUUAGUGUCUGAAUUCAGUAGUGAUAUCAGGCAAUAGUUUUGGCAGUGCGUUGGUGGUUUACCUGGUUUUUCUCCCUUCCUUACUGUUUGGUUUUGGACGGUGAUUACCCUAGCCGCUAGGAAUUCAGAGGGGAAAGAUCACGUACGGUUGCGUGGUUAAAUGUCUUGGUGAGGUGUGGAGUUAAGAGGUGUUUGAAUUUUGCGUAAUAUGAGUUUGUGUACCCGUCAGGGCCUGGGGCCUUCCCUUUGGGUAGUCGAUGCAGUCCAAUAUUUCGUUCUCUGUAAUAGUGGUUGCUAGUAUUUGCUUUUGGGCUGCUGUCAGUGUUGGUAAGGGGAUCUCCUCUAGGUAAGCCCCUAUUUGCUCAUGGCUGUGGGUUUUGGGGUGUUUGGGUCGUCCUUAAGGUUGUAGGGCUGGCUAUAGUGUUGUGUGAACUCAGUGCAUAUCUGUGCGGGCAGAAGUAGUUUUUGUCCCUCUUUGUUUAUUAUGUGAGCUAUGCGUGUUUGUUAUAGUUUGUCUUUUAGCCUUUGGGCCAGGAGCUUGCUUGCCUUGUUGCCCUGUACAUUUGUAUGCGUUUUCAACCUUUUCAACAUUAGUCCAAACUUAUGAAGUCGGAUCUCGUUUAACUUAUUUUGCAGGGCCGUUAUUUGCUUUUUAUGUUCUGUAGAGGGUCGCGUUUGAUUUUCACUAUGCAGUUUCUAUCAUUGCUGUCUGUACUGUUAUUUCUUUUUCAAAUUGUCUCUUGACAUAUAUAGCUCUACUUAUUAGUGUAACUCUCACCACUGCCUUGUGUGCCAGCCAGAGCAUUUGAGGGUUCUGGACUGAUUUGGUGUUUGUAGCAAAAUAGUGGCUUAGUUCUUUAUCUAUUUGUGUGCAGAACUGUUGUUCUUUUAAUAGGCUCUCGUUGACGUGCCAGGGAUUUCUGUGUUUGUAUUAAUACGUGUUUGUGAUCGUCAAUGUUACUGGUGCGUGGUCUGACCAGCUGGUGGGUGUUAUAUCAGUCUAGUACUCUGGUAAUGGUGGAUUCGUGCAUGAGACUCCCAUCUAUUCUUGAGUACGUGUUAUGUACUUUCGAGUGGUGGGUGUAUACUCUGUCACCUGGGUGAAGUGCUGUCCAUACGUCUCUUAGCCCAAAUGUUGACACUAGUGUCCUAAGGGCUUUUGCUUUGUUUUUUUAGAGUGCUGUAAUUUGGGGUGGAAGUGGGCCUGGUGGAGUCCAGCGCUGGAUCGAAUAUGUGGUUAAAGUCCCCACACACUAUGAGGGUGCCUUUUCUCAGUUUUCGCGAGAACCCUAUGAAGAGGGUUUCGGGGAAUAGAUGUUUACUAAUGUGUAUUCCAAAUUGUUUAUUGUACACUGCUAGAUGACUUAUCUUCCCCCUGGGUCUAAGAAGUGGUUGUGUGAGGCUACUGUGAGGUCCCUGCUGAGAAGUGUGGAGACGCCUUUGGAUUUGUGUGGUGUAGUGGCAUGAAGUUGGUGGGGUUAUAGGUGGGUUCCCAGUUGUGGGUGCACAUUUGUGCGAAAAUGCGUUUCCUGCAGGUGUACCCUUUUGAGUUCCUUAGCUAAGACAUGCCUUUUGUAGGGGAUAUUCAGACUUUGCACAUUAUGUGAGUAUAUUUUCAUACUGAAUGUGGGUGGUGAUUAAAUGCAGCGGUCUGCCCCAGUGCCUCUUGGUUAUACUGUAAGGUGUGCGCUCAAUGCUUUCCUUUCGCUGGACCUUUGUCUCUGUGUUCUGGUGAGGUGUACUGCUGGUUUUGUGCGUGGCUCCUGUGUGCCUGUACCCGUGUGGCAUUGUGUGUGGGUCCCACCCUGGUUGCGUUCCCUUGUCGUUAUCUCGUAGGAAGCAGUCACAAACUAUUGAGCAUGUAAUCCCAUUCAUGACCAUAUAAACAAAAUACUUAACAUAUAUACAUAACCUGUUGCCCCUGCUGUUUAAUCGCCCUAAUCGGUUCUGCCCCCCUUGCCUCCCGUAAACAUAUCUUUAAACCUUAUUAACGUUUCCCUUUACAGAGUUUGACUGUUAAGAAAGAGAAGUAUUGCAUAUUAUCCAUUCCCGACCAGUGUCCGUUCUGCGCCGAUCUACACAGUCAAAUAGGCGCAUCAUGUGGCUUUAUUGUCCACAUUGCUCCCUUAUGGAGUCAAGUCCCUGGUGCGUAGGGAGGGUGACAAUGGUCGUCUCUUGUCGUUUUCACUUUUCUGUUGUUGUCUUGGAGGCUUUGGAGUUCCUGACGGUUCUCCAUUCCGGCUGGAUCUCUGCAUGCCUUUUGGCGUUUUCUCCUGGAGUCGCUGCGGUGAUGCGCCAGCUGUGUAGUAGGUGAGUGCCUGCCACUACAUCCGAGGCCACGUGUGUCUUGCCUUCCAUGGAGAUCAGCAAUUUUAUCAGGAAGCCCCAACGGUACGGAAUUCUCCUGUUGCGAGGUUAUGUCUCUAAAUGCCCUUCUGCGCCGAGGUGUUUCCGCUGAAAGAUCAGCAAAUACCUGGAUGGUCUUAUACUGCUCCGUUAAGUCUUGCUGCGGCAGUUUGGAGCAGAUGAGAGCUUCUUUAACAUGGUAGUAGUGCAGUUUAGUUAGCACGUCCCUUGUGGUGGAAGCGGGUAGGUGUUGAGGCUUCGCCACCCUGUGUGCCCUGUCCAUUAGGAACAUUGACGUUUGUAUAUCAGGGCCUGGUAGGGUCCCAUUAAAAAUGCGAUGAGGUCUGCAGCUUGAAUGUCUUCAGGGACAUCUUUUACCCGCAGGUUUUGACGACGGGAUCUGUCUUCUAGAUCCGUGGCUUUCAAUUCCUGUUUCUCCAACUUUUCUUUCAUCUCCUCCAUUUUUGCCGCAAAGCCAUUAUGCGCUUCGGCGUAUUCCGCCAUCUUGUUUUUCAUGUGGGCCAUGCGGUUACCUAGGUCCAUUAUAUCUCGCCGGAGAUCUGCUAUUGCUGAUUGUACUGUUGUUUGGAUUUUAACAGCCAUGUCAUCCAGCAUUUUCUGGAACUGCUCCCCCUGUAUUUGUAUAUUGUCCUGCGAGGAUUGCAGCCUAGACAGCCAUUGCCAUCUUGUGAAGUCUGAACUACUGUCCUUAAACUCGCCAAAUUUGCUGCAAAAAAAGGAGUGUUUCUCUUUGGCAUCCACCGUUUUCCGUGCCCCCCUUAGUGACAUUGUGGGAAUACCAGAUUUGUGGGGUGGUUUGUGCUGUUUAGCCACUGUUUUACACUCUGAUUUAGCCUUCAGCCGGUGAGCUCCAUCCUUAUGCGAUCAUUCAGCUUGAGCGCAGGUUCCGGACUUGGAAGGCGGACUUAGACUCUAUCACCGUAAUGAUCAGUACAAUCAAUGCCAUCAACAUACCAAUUAAGUUAACUAUGACCGCAAACCUAGGAGGAGUAGAUUUCUUGGAUGUACUUUUGGAUCAAGAGC